AUUGAACGCUGGCGGCAGGCCUAACACAUGCAAGUCGAGCGGAUGAGAAGAGCUUGCUCUUCGAUUCAGCGGCGGACGGGUGAGUAAUGCCUAGGAAUCUGCCUGGUAGUGGGGGAUGACGUUUCGAAAGGAACGCUAAUACCGCAUACGUCCUACGGGAGAAAGCAGGGGACCUUAGGGCCUUGCGCUAUCAGAUGAGCCUAGGUCGGAUUAGCUAGUUGGUGAGGUAAUGGCUCACCAAGGCUACGAUCCGUAACUGGUCUGAGAGGAUGAUCAGUCACACUGGAACUGAGACACGGUCCAGACUCCUACGGGAGGCAGCAGUGGGGAAUAUUGGACAAUGGGCGAAAGCCUGAUCCAGCCAUGCCGCGUGUGUGAAGAAGGUCUUCGGAUUGUAAAGCACUUUAAGUUGGGAGGAAGGGCAGUAAGCUAAUACCUUGCUGUUUUGACGUUACCGACAGAAUAAGCACCGGCUAACU
rnacentral:rRNA from 1 species